rnacentral:rRNA from 1 species
GGACCUAACACAUGCAAGUCGAGCGGUAGCACAGGAGAGCUUGCUCUCUGGGUGACGAGCGGCGGACGGGUGAGUAAUGUCUGGGAAACUGCCUGAUGGAGGGGGAUAACUACUGGAAACGGUAGCUAAUACCGCAUGACCUCGCAAGAGCAAAGUGGGGGACCUUCGGGCCUCACGCCAUCGGAUGUGCCCAGAUGGGAUUAGCUAGUAGGUGGGGUAAUGGCUCACCUAGGCGACGAUCCCUAGCUGGUCUGAGAGGAUGACCAGCCACACUGGAACUGAGACACGGUCCAGACUCCUACGGGAGGCAGCAGUGGGGAAUAUUGCACAAUGGGCGCAAGCCUGAUGCAGCCAUGCCGCGUGUGUGAAGAAGGCCUUAGGGUUGUAAAGCACUUUCAGCGAGGAGGAAGGGCUCAGUGUUAAUAGCACUGAGCAUUGACGUUACUCGCAGAAGAAGCACCGGCUAACUCCGUG